UACGUAGGGGGCUAGCGUUGUCCGGAUUUAUUGGGCGUAAAGAGCGUGUAGGCGGCCAGGUAGGUCUGCUGUGAAAACUCGAGGCUCAACCUCGAGACGUCGGCGGAAACCAUCUGGCUAGAGUCCGGAAGAGGGGAGUGGAAUUCCUGGUGUGGCGGUGAAAUGCGCAGAUAUCAGGAAGAACACCCGUGGCGAAGGCGGCUCUCUGGGACGGUACUGACGCUGAGACGCGAAAGCGUGGGGAGCGAACAGG
rnacentral:rRNA from 1 species